CAAAAGGCUAAAGCAAUGCUUAGCAUGGCAAAACAACAUUAUAUGUGGUUUUUUAUUACAGGUGUGUCUGUCUGGUCCAGCCAAUUUGUCCAGUCCAUGCUUGAAACGAGGAGUGUGGAUUAAGGGAAGAAAUAGACAAGAAACACAAGAUGGAGUCGGAAGGACAUCCCAUAAAUACGAUAAUCAGCCCCAAGUUUAUUGCUCUAAGUUCUUAUAUACCCCAAUCAAAGGGGGGAAGGUAAAAAUCUUCCUUACCCCUGCUACAAGAAACAAGCAAAUGUAAUUACCUCCUUAAAACCCAAAACAUCAAGUAACCACACCCUAAGCCAAUUAUCCUAUUGUUUAGGUAAGACAUCCAUUAUCUACACCUUCAGCCAGAUAUCCUGUUGUCUAGGCAAAACAAUAGCCUCACCAUAGACCAAACACAUUGAGGUUUAACUUUGAAGGAACAAGAACAGACUUGAACUCUAUGACCUUAAGCCAAGAUGGAACGGAGCCACUUCUAUGGGCCUCCACACAGGUGUGCCUUUUAUUCCACCCUGACCAAAAACUAAUUGGAUUUUGCAUUUACAAGCUGAGAACAUGUAAUACACUCAGUAGAUAUAUCAGCAUCAUUUGGGGUCAGUAGUAUUGUGUCCUCGUUGUUUCCCCCAAGCUCUUGGCUUGAUGAGUGAAAAUCCUUAUGGUUCCCUAAGUUAUCAGCUUACUUUUCCACAUGGAAAAAUGUCUCUUCUUGAUGUAUUUGUCAUCUAUCUUCAGACAUUUCCUUUACCCAGUGGUCUCCAGGACGUUGUCCUGGUUGGAUAUAUUGAAGUGACAGACAUCCUGGGACUUCAUUCCUUUUAUUGAAAGGACACAAACAUAGCCUUGCCCUAAUGUUAAAAGAACAUGUAUUCCUUUCCAUUAAUUAGUUUCUAGAUCUUUCUUGUUGCAUGAAAAAUAAAAGACCCAGAGACAGAUAUUGGGGUUCAAGCUUCAAGCUGAAGAUCAGAGAAGCAAUGCAGCCAAGCCAGUAGAUCUUAACCCUAGCUGAAAUGGCAAUCCUGUCUCCAUGAAUCCUCAGAGGCAAAAGCUCCCAGUUCCUGUCUCCUGCUCCUUUUAUUCCUUUCUCUGCCCAUCCAUAUCACUCCUGUCUCCUCCUUCCUAGUGCUGGGAUUAAAGGUGUGUAAUCCCAAGUGAUAGGAUCAAAGGCGUGGGCUCUGUUAUUCUUUUAGACUGAUUCAAUCUUGUGUAGGUAUGGGUGGCCUUGAACUCAGAGAGACCCAUCUGCCUUUGUCUCCUGAGUCCUGGGACUAAGGAUGUAUGUCAACACUGCCUGACUUCUAUGGCUAACUAGUAUGGCUGCUUUUCUAUUUUGAUCUCUAGUGGCUUUAAUAAAUUAGGUUGUUGUCUCCUUUAGGGCAAAAAUGCUUCUGAGCUAAAGAAGAAUCAUUAUCCUGCUACCAAAAGUUCAGCUCCCAACUCAUGUGGAGACCACUUCUCAACCACAGGGCACACUAGCCAGAAGACCUGAGACAAAACAGAAACCAAGGAACAAAACACCCACCCAACAAAGACAAAUGCAGAAAUUAGCACCUAGUCCUAUAAUGACUUCAAACCCAAAUGACUAGACUCCAGCAUAAGAAGACAGUCAAAAACAGUCAAAAACAGUCAGGGGAAUAUGUCAUCACCAGAGCUCAACUAUCAUAACACAGUAGUCCUAAAUAUUCCAACAUAGCCAAAGCAAAAGAAAAUGACCACAAAACCAACUUUACAAUGAUGAUAGAGAUCCUUAAAGAAGAAAAUAAUAAAUCCCUUACAAAAAGCCAAGAAAAAAAAACAAUUGAAGGAAACAAAUAAAGCUGUGCAAGACCUGAAAAUGGAAAUAGAAGCAACAAAGAAGGCACAAAGUGAGGGAAUUCUGGAAAUGAAAAAUCUAGGUAAAUGAACAGGAAAUACAGACAUAAGCUUUGCCAACAGAAUACAAGAGAUGGAAGAAGAAAUCUGAGGCAUAGAAGAUACAAUAGAAGAAAUAGAUUCAUUGGUCAAAAAAAUUGGUUAAAUCUAAAAAAUUCAAGACACAAAACAUCCAGGAAAUCUGGGACAUGAUGAAAUGACCAAACCUAAGAAUAAUAGAAAUUAAAAAAGAGGAAAAUCCCAGCUCAAAAGCACAGAAAAUAUUUACAAAAAAAUCAAAGAAGACAGGAUCCAUCCUUCUGCUGCAUACAAGAAAUACACCUAAACAUCAAAGAUAGACAUUACCUCAGGGUAAAGGGUUGGAAAACGAUUUUCCAAGCAAAUGGACUUAAGAAGCAAGCAGGUUUACCUAUCCUAAUAUCUAACAAAAUAGACUUCAAACUAAAAGUAGUCAAAAGAGAUGGAGAGGAAUGCUACAUAUUCAUCAAAGGAAAAAUUCACCAAGAUGAUAGUUCAAUUCUUAACCUCUAUGCCUCAAAUUCAAGGGCACCCAUAUUUGCAAAAGAAAAUUACUUAAGUUUAAAUCACACUUUGACCCUCACACACUGAUAGUGGGAAAACUAAGUCAAAACCUAAGGAAGGAAAUGCUGGAGCUAACUGGAUGAUGCAACUGGAAACAACCUAGAUGUCCCUCAACUGAAGAAUGGAGAAAAAAACUGAUAGACUUUUAAAAAAAUAUAUCAUUAAAUUUACCCAGGCAAAUGGAUACAACUAGGAAGUAUCAUCUUGAAUGAGGUAACCCAGACCCAGAAAGACAAACAUGGCAUGUACUCACUCGUAAGUAGAUAUUAUCAGUUAAGUAAAGAAUACUCAUGCUAAAAUCCACAGGUUCAUAAAGGCUAAGUAACAAGGGGAUAUGGAUAUGGAUUUCACCUGGUCAGGGAAAAUAGAAUAGAUCAUUUCAGUGGACUGAGAUUUGGUGGCUAUGGAGAUAGGAGGAAUCAGGAUGGAGGGAGAGAGUGCAAGGAGGGACAACUGGCACCGGGGGGCAUUGGGGAAAUGUACUGCAGUGGAAACUCCCUACAAUCUACUAUGGUGACCCUAGAUAGAACUCCUCAUAAUGGAGGAUAUAGAGUCUGAACUGUCUACCAUCCGUAGCCCUAACCUAUAUGUUGGGAGCCAUACAGCUUGGCAUGGAUGAACCUUUAGGCCGAACUUGGCCAGACACACGGCUAUGGAACUGUCUUUUGAUUAUAAAUGGCUUCUAGAAGCAUGAGCACCCAGAAGGAACAACAUGACCCAGAUGUCAAUCCUUUGUUCCAACCCACAGGCCCACUUACCUAGGCAACCCUCCCUCACCCCAACAUCCAUGAACUUUGUACCCUGCCAACAUCCUCCUUCUAUAGUUUUCCUACCUUCUGCUUAAACUAACACCUGGUUCUUGGCCUCUUCUCCUCCUCCCCUCUACCCCACUCUACUGACUACAUAAGCUAGCCUGGGAAAAAUAAAAUUUGCCACUUGAUCAGAAUCCUGUCUUGUGGUCAUUCUUUCUUCGUCUAUUGUCUCUAGUCCCCUCCUUGGACAUCUUGCCCUAGGUUGCUGUCCUGAGGGUUGGGACAAAUACACCUAUAGAUGAUGAGGUCAGUUAAAAUAUCCAGUGGUUGAGAAAUAGCUAAUAAAAGCUGAUUAAUAAGACUUCAGACAGAUGAGCUCUAACAUCAGGGGUGGUUACAAAGUUUUUGUGGAGUAUGUGGAAUUUGUAUAUAAAAUAUAGCUCCUUGUCCUUUUGCAGAACCAUCUGUAAAAGCAUUAGAAAUGAUCUCUAUAAACUUUUUAGAUUUAACUUUUUAGCUUUAGAGUUAAGCAACAGCCAUGGGGUUUCUUUAAAAAUCUUAAAGGGAAAUCUUCAAGAUAAGAUCAUCUAUGGAUUCUGAGUAACCAGCUAACACUAUCUGCCAAUUUGUCUCAGUGUCACAAAUAACAGACCUGCACUGUAUUUAGUGGUAGCACGAUUUCUGUAGGCUCUUUACCAGUAGGUGGCGUACAGUGCGGAGGAUGGGGUGAGGUGAGCUGGGAUAGGGUGGAGCCACCCUCCACUCCUGGGAACUUAAGAAAGGGCCAUGGAACCCGGACUGGAAGUUUCAAUAAGCUUGCCUUUCCUCCCUAGCAACAACAGGGCCGAGUGUCUGAUGAACAAGUGGAGAAAAAGACAGAAUCUGGAGUGUUCCUGAGGGCUCAGCUGCUAAUGGGACUGAGAGGAUAGUGGUCCCCAGGGAGGGAGGGCCAGCGCCACAGGGAAGCGGAGUGCGCCCUGAAGAGAUGUAAAGAUGGGAAGUAGGAAUUACGUGGUUGGAGCAUGAGGGAACCAUCUGAAUUCACAGCCCAGAUGCCUGGAACUUCCGUGAAUCUCUGAGCAGGAUCCUCUGCAAAGUGGUUCUGAGGUCUUCCUUCUCAGCUGCAGUCACUCCUGUUACCUGGUCUCCUGAGAGAACCUUGGCAAAGGCUGCAGCAAUCCUUCCACCCUGGCUCUGUGCCCUUUGUCUCUAUUGAGCUGUCUGUGGUGCAUGCUUCUGGCCAGUGAGUUGCUAGGAUCUAACUGGAAGGCGGGGUGUGGUGGGGGAACCACGGACAGGACGAUGAGCUGCUGAGCUGCGGGGCUACUCCUCCUCCUCCACUGCCACCAAGCCACUCUGGCGGGCUCCAGCUCUUCACGCUGCAGCUUCCUCACCCAGGCUUCAGUGAAUUGGCAAAGUUACUGUGGGAGGACAGCACAGGGGCUACAUGAAUGAGAAGGACAAGGUGACACAGGGGAGUAAGUAACUGGUGGCCCCCUCAGCCCUACUGGGGUCCGCAGGAAGACGAAACCAAGUCACCAGAACGGGAUAUGAUUGGCACAGUGCGGGACCCCACCAGGCGGGGGUCUCAGACUUCUCCUCUGGACCUAAGGCAUGUUCUAAAGAGUGCCUUUCCCUGGGAUUCCUCACAAGCCUUCUACUGUUCCCCAAUCUCUUUGCCCUUGAGCUUAAUUUCCCACCUUCAUACUAUAUAUUAUCAUCAGAUCAUAAUAAAUAUUUCCAGGGCCAAGACCACCCACGUACUCGUUUUUUCUUUGCCUCCUUUGUUGUCAUUGUAUUUUAAGGCAGGGUUUCACCCUUUAACACACAUCUUAGAAUUUGCAGCACUUUCUUCUCUCCCUCUCCUAUCCACAAAGUGCCUUUUACCUUCUCUUCCACCAGGUGGCAAUCUGUGUUCACGACUGAAGAUGCCUUAGCUAAUCAGGGGCUGGCACACCUUGUCUACUGUGAAGGACUCGGGCAAUGGCAUGGGGUGGCGACAUGUGAAAGCUUCUGUUUUUGCCUCCCAGACCCAUGUCGUCUACUUCCUAGGGAGAUGGCAUCAG
rnacentral:lncRNA from 1 species